rnacentral:tRNA from 1 species
GAGGGUAUAGCUCAGUGGUGGAGCAGGUGCUUAGGGUGCAUGAGGUCUUGGGUUCCUGGGUUCAAUCCCCAGUACCUCCA